UGGGGAAUAUUGGACAAUGGGCGAAAGCCUGAUCCAGCCAUGCCGCGUGUGUGAAGAAGGUCUUCGGAUUGUAAAGCACUUUAAGUUGGGAGGAAGGGCAGUAAGCGAAUACCUUGCUGUUUUGACGUUACCGACAGAAUAAGCACCGGCUAACUCUGUGCCAGCAGCCGCGGUAAUACAGAGGGUGCAAGCGUUAAUCGGAAUUACUGGGCGUAAAGCGCGCGUAGGUGGUUCGUUAAGUUGAAUGUGAAAGCCCCGGUCUCAACCUGGGAACUGCAUCCAAAACUGGCGAGCUAGAGUAGGGCAGAGGGUGGUGGAAUUUCCUGUGUAGCGGUGAAAUGCGUAGAUAUAGGAAGGAACACCAGUGGCGAAGGCGACCACCUGGGCUCAUACUGACACUGAGGUGCGAAAGCGUGGGGAGCAAACAGG
rnacentral:rRNA from 1 species